AUACGGAGGGUGCGAGCGUUGUUCGGAAUUAUUGGGCGUAAAGCGCGUGUAGGCGGUUUGUUAAGUCUGAUGUGAAAGCCCCGGGCUCAACCUGGGAAGUGCAUUGGAUACUGGCAGACUUGAAUACGGGAGAGGGCAGUGGAAUUCCUGGUGUAGGAGUGAAAUCCGUAGAUAUCAGGAGGAAUACCGGUGGCGAAGGCGGCCCCCUGGACGAAGACCGACGCUCAGGUGCGAAAGCGUGGGGAGC
rnacentral:rRNA from 1 species